GGCUAAACAUAUUACCGAAGCUGUGGAUUGUCCUUUGGACAAUGGUAGGAGAGCGUUCUAAGGGCGUUGAAGCAUGAUCGUAAGGACAUGUGGAGCGCUUAGAAGUGAGAAUGCCGGUGUGAGUAGCGAAAGACGGGUGAGAAUCCCGUCCACCGAUUGACUAAGGUUUCCAGAGGAAGGCUCGUCCGCUCUGGGUUAGUCGGGUCCUAAGCUGAGGCCGACAGGCGUAGGCGAUGGAUAACAGGUUGAUAUUCCUGUACCACCUAUAAUCGUUUUAAUCGAUGGGGGGACGCAGUAGGAUAGGCGAAGCGUGCGAUUGGAUUGCACGUCUAAGCAGUAAGGCUGAGUAUUAGGCAAAUCCGGUACUCGUUAAGGCUGAGC
rnacentral:rRNA from 1 species